AGAGUUUGAUCCUGGCUCAGGAUGAACGCUGGCGGCAUGCCUAAUACAUGCAAGUCGAACGAGGGUCCUUCGGGACUCGAGUGGCGAACGGGUGAGUAACACGUAGGGAACCUGCCCGUGCGACCGGGAGAACUUUCGGAAACGGAAGCUGAUACCGGAUAGGGACAGAGACGGCAUCGACUCUGUGUUAAAGGAGCUGAAAGGCUCCGCGCACGGAUGGACCUGCGGUGCAUUAGCUAGUUGGUGAGGUAACGGCCCACCAAGGCGACGAUGCAUAGCCGGCCUGAGAGGGCGGACGGCCACACUGGGACUGAGACACGGCCCAGACUCCUACGGGAGGCAGCAGUAGGGAAUUUUCGUCAAUGGGCGCAAGCCUGAACGAGCAAUGCCGCGUGAACGAGGAAGGUCUUCGGAUCGUAAAGUUCUGUUGAAGGGGAAAAAGAGCGGAGAGAGGAAAUGGUCUCCGAUUGAUAUUACCCUUCGAGGAAGUCACGGCUAACUACGUGCCAGCAGCCGCGGUAAUACGUAGGUGGCGAGCGUUAUCCGGAAUGAUUGGGCGUAAAGGGUGCGUAGGCGGCCUGCUAAGUCUGGAGUGAAAGGUACCGGCUCAACCGGUACAGGCUCUGGAAACUGGCGGGCUAGAGAGCAGGAGAGGGCGGUGGAACUCCAUGUGUAGCGGUAAAAUGCGUAGAUAUAUGGAAGAACACCAGUGGCGAAGGCGGCCGCCUGGCCUGUUACUGACGCUGAGGCACGAAAGCGUGGGGAGCAAAUAGGAUUAGAUACCCUAGUAGUCCACGCCGUAAACGAUGAGGACCAAGUGUUGGGGAAGACCCAGUGCUGCAGUUAACGCAGUGAGUCCUCCGCCUGGGGAGUAUGCACGCAAGUGUGAAACUCAAAGGAAUUGACGGGGGCCCGCACAAGCGGUGGAGUAUGUGGUUUAAUUCGAAGCAACGCGAAGAACCUUACCAGGCCUUGACAUAGGGUGCGAAGCUGUGGAGACAUAGUGGAGGUAAACAUCCAUACAGGUGGUGCAUGGUUGUCGUCAGCUCGUGUCGUGAGAUGUUCAGUUAAGUCUGGCAACGAGCGCAACCCUCGUGAUGUGUUACCAAUAUCGAGUUAGGGACUCACAUCAGACUGCCGGUGAGAAACCGGAGGAAGGCGGGGAUGACGUCAAAUCAUCAUGCCCCUUAUGGCCUGGGCUACACACGUACUACAAUGGCGGCGACAGAGGGCAGCGAGCCUGCGAAGGCAAGCGAAUCCCAAAAAAGCCGCCCCAGUUCGGAUUGGAGUCUGCAACCCGACUCCAUGAAGUUGGAAUCGCUAGUAAUCGCGGAUCAGCAUGCCGCGGUGAAUACGUUCUCGGGCCUUGCACACACCGCCCGUCA
rnacentral:rRNA from 1 species